rnacentral:rRNA from 1 species
UGGGAAUUUGGACAAUGGGGCAACCCUGAUCCAGCAAUGCCGCGUGUGUGAAGAAGGCCUUCGGGUUGUAAAGCACUUUUGUCCGGAAAGAAAUCGCCCUGGCUAAUAUCCGGGGUGGAUGACGGUGCUGGAAGAAUAAGCACCGGCUAACUACGUGCCAGCAGCCGCGGUAAUACGUAGGGUGCGAGCGCUAAUCGGAAUUACUGGGCGUAAAGCGUGCGCAGGCGGUUGUGCAAGACAGAUGUGAAAUCCCCGGGCUUAACCUGGGAAUGGCAUUUGUGACUGCACGGCUAGAGUGUGUCAGAGGGGGGUAGAAGUUCCACGUGUAGCAGUGAAAUGCGUAGAUAUGUGGAGGAACACCGAUGGCGAAGGCAGCCCCCUGGGAUAACACUGACGCUCAUGCACGAAAGCGUGGGGAGCAAACAGGAUUAGAUACCCUGGUAGUCCACGCCCUAAACGAUGUCAACUAGUUGUCGGGUCUUAAUUGACUUGGUAACGCAGCUAACGCGUGAAGUUGACCGCCUGGGGGAGUACGGUCGCAAGAUUAAAACUCAAAUGAAUUGACGGGGUCAUAGCUGUUUCCUG